rnacentral:rRNA from 1 species
UCGGGAAUUUUGGGCAAUGGGCGCAAGCCUGAUCCAGCCAUGCCGCGUGAGUGAAGAAGGCCUUCGGGUUGUAAAGCUCUUUUACCAGGGACGAUAAUGACGGUACCUGGAGAAUAAGCCCCGGCAAACUUCGUGCCAGCAGCCGCGGUAAUACGAAGGGGGCUAGCGUUGUUCGGAAUUACUGGGCGUAAAGCGCACGUAGGCGGAUUGUUAAGUCAGAGGUGAAAUCCCGGAGCUCAACUUCGAAACUGCCUUUGAUACUGGCAAUCUAGAGUCCGGAAGAGGUUAGUGGAAUUCCCAGUGUAGAGGUGAAAUUCGUAGAUAUUGGGAAGAACACCAGUGGCGAAGGCGGCUAACUGGUCCGGUACUGACGCUGAGGUGCGAAAGCGUGGGGAGCAAAACAGGAUUAGAUACCCUAGUAGUCCCUGAGCGGGCUGGCAAGGCGCAU